AUGGAGGCGGCGGCCCGAGCGACGAAGGCGAGGAGAAAGACCUGCCUGCUCUGGACGCCGCUUUCCCCCAGGCCUAGAGCUCCAUGGAGGAAGACACCAGGCCCAGGCCAAGGACUCCCAGGUGGUAAAGGGAGACAGAGAUUGGAGAAACAGAGAAUGGUUUAAUUUAUGGACAACUUAAAAGGGCAGCUGUUUAACUUCAAUGUAGAGAUGCUCAUCUGAGGACUGGGCCAUAAAGAUAAAGAAGUAACAAAUGGGGAAAGAGAAAGCUUUUAGAUAAGGAAUGUUAAGAUCCCCUGCUCAGUAGCAAAUUAAGUAAAACAGCCAGAACUAACCAAUCACAGAGACUGGUGGAGCUUUAGAAUAAUUAGGGAAAGAAGGUAUAUAUUCCCUGGGACAUGACUCCACUUUGGCUUUCUUGCCCCUUCCAGGCCUGGUUUCAUGGUCUGGGAGUUCUACUUUGUUUUUGUUUUUU